rnacentral:lncRNA from 1 species
CAUGCAUGCUUAUCCAUUUAGAGGGUUGCAACCUACGCCUCCUUAAUUAAAUUUCCUCCCUCUUUUUUCUCUGGAGCCGUACGCAAGGAGGAGGAGAACCCGGUUGGAGCUCGUGUGUCGUCGACGUCGCGCCGCGGUACCGUAUGAGCGUGUGUUCGUCGUCGUAACAUCGCGAGAAGGCCGGGCGAGGGUGCGUUUACGCCGUUUUCGACGUCGUGCCGGAUUGGGUUUUGUGUUUGAGGUGGGUUUAUCAUCGGAUUUCUACUCCUAUAGCCUUGUUAGUCAACAUGUAUAGUUAGGAUAUCUGCGUUGGUACUGUUUAGCUCAGAUUCAUGUUUAUGCAUUGUUCUAGGCUUAUGCAUUGAAUUGGGAGCAUGUUACUGUUUGUUAUUAAUUAUAUAUGUUGGACUUGGAUAAAACAUAGGAGAAAAUCAGUGUUCGGAACUUGUCAUAAGUUAAACUACCUGAUUUAGCCCUAGGGGCCAUUGUAUGUUUAUACAGUUGCAGUAUCCUCUUAGUGAGUGUGUCAGGUAGUUCAGAUUUCAGUUACGCUCGUGCUGGGAUGCCGAGCCGAUUUUUACAGUAGUGUUUACAGUAUUCCGGACUAGUGGGUGCCGUAGUGGUUGACGGCGGACCCGGAAUUGAUUGUUUCGGUAUCAGAUUGUGCCGAGAGCAUGUGGCUAGUGGUUGGUAGUACUGUUAGACCUGUUUUCUUGACUUUAGCCUAUGAGAGCCUGAUUGAGCUCGACAGAGAUAUGCUUGCAUACUCGGUUGGGUCGCGCCCCCGAGUGCCGCUCCGGAGUCUGGCUUUGUGCUUUCGCGUUGAUAUCACUGACUAGUUUUGCUAUCCACAGACUGUUUUGCGUGGAGGUAGCGUGGCUUAGACAGGCGGGGUGGGUGUAUCACAGUCCCUGAAUAGAUUAGGCCAGCAUUAAUAUUUUUACUACAGAUAAUUAGAGUAGAGCAUAAUAGUGUAGUGAUAUUUAGCUGUAGAUGUUUCCAACUUUCCUACUAUCCCAGCUCCUUUCUGUAGACUUAGUGGGUGGACCGAUGAUUGUUGCGGGCGGCACCCACUGAGGACUACUUGUUUUUACAGUAGUUCUCACGCCCAGUUGUUACCCUAUGUUUUGCAGAGCCUGCUGUUCCGGCUGCUGCGUCUUCAGAGGCAGAUCGAGGCAAAGGCGUCGCGAGUUAGAGCUGUACCCGACGAGUUGCUGAGAUAGAGGAUCCACCAUUACAGGUAGUUCCGGUUUAUUUUGUUGAGUUCAUGUAUAUACAGUUGUUAUAACUCGCUGGAGCGAGUAUCUUUGUAUAGCGUUUUGUUGUAUGUAUGUGAGACUUGUUUUAUUCUACCUGUUUGGUUUCUUUACAGUUCUAUACUACUGGUUGUAGUAUUGUAUAUUUUCAGUUACCGAUACGCUUCAUAUACAGGAAAAAUUUUUUGUAUACGGCGGAUUUGUCGACGUGCCCGAAAAUUGUGUAAU